GAAACGGAGACCAGCCCAGUAUUUAAAUAAAGCGUCCGUAGUAAACCAGGGGAAUCACAGGAUGUCCUUUCUGAUAGAGUGUAGCUUCCUCUCAUAGAACAGCGCAUGGACGGCUCAGCUCUCCACUCACUGGUAAGUGGCUAUGACCAGCUGUGGCCAGCUCAGUCCCAAUGAGGACAAAGAGAACCACCUUCUGUAUGCUGGGGAGUGAGAGAUGGCUGUCCUCAGGGGAGACUGCUGAAAUUUGACCUCAAAGGUUUGGCAGCAAAAUGUAAAACGACUAAAAACGUAAGUUAUAAUCACAAAAUUUACUUAGUAGGCCUGGGGCAUCUGUGAAGUCCCAGUGAACUUCGCUUUAUUGUAGCGUUGGACUUGGAAACAGAUGUGAGCAUGGAAUUGGGUGUGAGUGGAUUCUGAGGCGAAGCAAGCUCACCCUCUCCAAACAGCACAUGCCGACCUCUUUCGUCUCCAGAGUCAACUAAAGGGAGUUUCCCCCAGGGGCUUAGAGCUAAACUGACAGCCAAACAACAACAGAGCUGCCACAUUAAGCCAAAGCUGGUCCUAUAGGCCUCUGGUUUGAACUACUCAAGAGCCUGCUGCAGGAGAGUCCCAAGUUCAAGGCCAACUCUGGCAACUUAGUGAGCUCUCGUCUACAAAACUGAAAAUAUCAAGCCUGAGUAUUUAUCCUAAAGUCGACAUCAGUGAACGAACAACACGAUUCACAAUGGCUAAAUGAUAGAGCCAACCUAGGCACUUAGCAGCAAAAGACUGGACAAAGGAAUCUAUACACACAAUGUGUCUAUAUACACAAUGGAAUUAUGUCCAGCCACAGAAAAGAAUGAAGCUACAUCGUUUGCGAGAAAAUGGAUGCAACUACAGAGAAUCGUGAUAAGUGAAUUAAGUCAGUCGUACACAAAAUCCGCUGAAACGUGCUUGAGCACUCUAGAAUGACCAGAUGAGAGUGGUAAGGAACGCAGCGGCGGCAGAGCCCAUUUCAGGAGGGCCACUAAGGCGGUGGCGGAGGAGCCCAUUGCGGUAGAGCCGCUAGGGCGGAGCGGAGGAGCCCAUUUCAGCAGAGCCACUUGAUUGUGACUCCUGUGGCACCGAGUGAAAACUCUGUAGUCAUCACGGAGGGCUCCUAAGAAAAGGCUGCCGCUGUUCCUACUCAGAGUUAACAGUGGGCAUACGAGAGCCUCCCAGAGAUGUCAAUGCCUCUGCCACCUCUGACAAAUUACCUCUCAGGGCUUUGCCCGGGCAGGCUGGCACUAAAUAAAGAACAAGGAAUUAAUGUCUUCCAAGUGAAGUAAAACAAAAUAAGAGGUGUUACAGACACUCAAGGCGCUCUCGGGAGAUGCACUGUCAUCUGGGCUCCUGUAACAGUAAGCACAGACCGGAACCCUCAAGAUCAAUUCUGUGCAGAAUUUUUUCCUCUUUUUUUUAAAAGUUGCUAUGUUGCCCAGGCUGGUCUCGAAUUCAAGAUCCCUAGUGCCAAGAUUACAGGGAACACUUCCACACACGGCCCCCUGUGCACAAUUAAAAUUUAGAUUUCCCCAAGUUCUGUCCCAUAGAAUGUUACAGAUGCCGGUGACUUAAGAAACAAUACUGUUGGCACUGAAGAUGCAGACUUUUGCCCAUGUGCACAUAUGUGCAGCUACAUGUUCCUAUGCAUGUGCACACAUGCAUACAAAUUAUUUUCCUUCUUAAAUCCCUCGCCUGCAUUCUUUUCUAUCCCAAAGUCAAGACCAACCUGAUGGUGUCAUGCUAGGGGCAGACACACGAGGAACGCUGGAUUUGAACCCUGUUUUCUUAACUAGCUAAGCACUGAGGGGCACUGACACUAAAAGCUGCCACCAACCCCUCCUCCUUCAGAAGGAAGGAAAGGCUUUUUAAGGACAUCUGUCUUGAUUCAAGUGAGCAAAAUCCUAAUUAAAAUGGAGUGAUCGGAUGGAAAAUAAAUACCGUGUCCUUUUUUGGGUAAUUUAUUGAGAAAUUAUUUUGCGCAGGUCUAUAAAAGUCUGCUCAGCCUUACUGAUUGUUUUCAUUAAAGUAAACAGUUUAUCUUUGGGGAUGCAAGUAACAAAAAUUUUGAUUCAUUAAACAAAAGUUGCAUAACAUGUACGCUUUCAUUGCAUAUGUAAUUGGGGGUUUCCACUUGGGAAGAAUUUUCUCAAAAUAGUAAUAAAUACAAAGGGCCAAAGAUACUAAGAUAAGCAAUCAGACUCAAGAUAAGCAGGGCAGGAAGCUCAAAGACCACUAGUGGGGUGUGCAUGCAGUGCUGUUUGAGGCAGGCAUCUAAACAGUGCAUGUGAUACGGCUGGAUAUAAUAUUACCAGGUCAGGAUCAGUAUUACAUAAUCACACAGCUAAAAGACAGCCCGAAACCACCGCCUUCUUUUUCCAUGUUGAGACAGGGGCUCACAGAGGGUAGGCCAGCCUUUAACUCCUGAUCCUCCUAUUUUCUAUAGUUUGAGUGCUGGGAUUACAGGCAUGUGCCACCACAUCCAGGUUUUAAGUAUUCUAACAUAAUUCAUCAUGUAAAACAUGAUUCUUCAAAAAGGAAGUGGUUGCGAAUCUAUUUGUCCUUGAAAGCGAAAUGAGCACAAUUUAAGACAGGCUCAGACGAGUCAGGUAAAUCUUCAGGUCACUUCUGGAACCUCAGUCAGGAUGAGGGACUCUGGGAUCAGCCUGAGCAGCUGCCUGGGCCACACCUAUCGCCCUGCAUCCCUCACACUGAUGGACCAGGUAGUCUGUUCGAGCUUCUGAGGAUCGAGACAGUGCAAGGGCUCUCUCUACAUUAGCCCCUGAAUCAAACUGCUGGCUAGGAAGGUGACCCCAGGGUCUGCCCCUUCAUGAGGUAAGCUACGCUCACUGCUUCUCCACCAGGAGAGGCGCAUCUCCCUUGUCCUGAUCGCUGCUGAGUAGAAGUCUUGAGUUUUCUCAUGGCAAAUUGAGGAUAUUUUUUCUUACUUUGAGUCACUCAGGAAAUGCAAACCACUCACUACUCCUAGCUGACUGAGCAAGAUACUGACAACAAAGAAAUCUGGAUGAGACCGAGGAUGAGCGGUUCCAACCUGUAACUUCGCUAGCCCUUGAGAUCUUGAAGAGGCAUCCAGCACGGACAACAGCCAGAGAAGACAAUCAAACAUUUAUAGAAUUUCCCCAUCCAAAUGGAAUGUUUAUAUCACUCAGUAGCUGCCUCUCCUGGAAUCUGAGAGAUUAUUUGUUUCACCUACACAUGGUCCCUAAGAACAGAAAAGAUGCUGCAUCCGAAAAGCGAACCUGAAUCUAGAGGGUGAGCUCAUUCAGCGGCUCUGUUGACUUCCUGCACCACAAAUGGACACCACAGCGCAGGCCAGCCUCCCCCGGAAGUCAGAAGCAUCCACAUCCCUUUCAUAGAGGCUCUGAGGAAGGCCCCCCAAAAGAAGUCUCAAAGUUGAGUGCCUAGUGCAGCAUUAAGUAGCCUCCUGGGUUUUAUGAGCCCUAAGUCAAAUACUAAACACAAAAUCAGUGUAUUUGUAAACCGCUCCUUUGACACUAAUCUAUUAGAUUACAGAUAGAAAAUGGAGGCAGGUGAGGCUAGACCUCUCGUGUGUGUAACUGGUGUUCUUGCAGGGGUAUCAUCUGAAAUCUACACCCUGUAACAGCUUCUACCGACUGGAACACAAUGUCACAAUCCUAUAUUUUCUAGUUCGAUACACAGGAUAUUUUUCUAUGCUCCUAAACAAGAGUUCACUUAAAAACAAAACAAAACAGGCUGGAUGUUCUAGGUGACUAUUUGAGGCUUAUUAGCUCGCUUUUGCUUUUCUUUACAGUUCACUUCCUGGGGCCAAGUCAUUUUUUUCCUUAAAGUAUUCAGACACACGAGUUGCAAGCUGGAAAACCAAUUCUGAGAUAGUCCUCUCUAUAUGCUCCCUCUCAAAAGCCUGGAGUAUGCAAACAAAGAUGCUGUGGGCAGGAGGCCAGUUAAUAAAUCUCAUUUCCGACCGGCAUCUGCGUAGAACAGAGUUGCAGGGAGUAGCCUCUCCAGGGAGGUCCAGGCCACGACUCAUUUGCUCUUUGAAUUUAAGACUGUCACCUUGGAUGGCCCUCACCACAUUUAUUUUUUAAGCAGCUCUUAAAAUAUCUGGGCUCCUAACUGCAGUGGGGAGGCUGGGGUUGGAGGCGCUCUGUUGUGCAGUGGGUAUAGAAAAGUGUUCGGAUGGCUUUACUGGGUCAUUCUGAUACCUGACUGCUUUCAGUGCAAUUUGUAACACAGACGUGAUUUUUUUUUUUUUU